rnacentral:tRNA from 1 species
GGCACAGAUUGGUCACAGUGGUCACGUAAGUCAUUGAAUUUUAACCUCAUACAAUCCCCCUCCUAAGGGGAAGGUCGCCCGUUCGAAUCGGGCCGGGGUCACCA